rnacentral:rRNA from 1 species
UACAGAGGUCUCGAGCGUUGUUCGGAUUCACUGGGCGUAAAGCGCACGUAGGCGGAUUGUUAAGUCAGGGGUGAAAUCCUGGAGCUCAACUCCAGAACUGCCUUUGAUACUGGCGAUCUCGAGUCCGGGAGAGGUGAGUGGAACUGCGAGUGUAGAGGUGAAAUUCGUAGAUAUUCGCAAGAACACCAGUGGCGAAGGCGGCUCACUGGCCCGGUACUGACGCUGAGGUGCGAAAGCGUGGGGAGCAAACAGG